UCGGACCCGAGGCAGAUGGAAAUCAGAAUGCAGUGGAUCUUCAGGGUCCAGCCGCAGCAGGCCCAGAAGCCCCCAUGAUAGCCCAGGCCCCUCUGACCUCACCCCUUCUCUCUGGGCAGGUCCCAGCAGCAGAGACAGGAAUCGCCGGACCCCGGGGCCUCCGGGAGCCACGUGUGCCAGCGCAGCGCCUGCCAGCUCCCAGGCUGACCUCACAAUGGCUCCUUUCACCAGGAGAGGAGCUGGCCCGGCCCGGAGCCUGCGGGGGGAUGUCCCAGGCCCCAGGGCGUGGGGUGGGAGGUUGGAAACUGGGGAAUGGGCUGCUGAGGCUGGGAGAGCUGAAGGAUCUCAGCGCCACAUCCACCACCCGAUGUCAAGAGCCCGAGAGAAGAACAGGAAAGGCAGAGAGGACUGGCGACAGCGCUGACUCACCGGGAGGUGGGGCGGGCAGCCGGAUCCGGAAGGGCAAGGAGUGCGGCCAAUUCAUCCUUCUUUCCUUGGACAUUCACUGGAAUAAGGCUGGGCCCUGAGUCAGAGGCCUGAAUCCACCCAGCCCAGAGCCUUGAGAGGCUCACAGGCCAGUGAGGCAGGAAAACGUGUUCAACUGAAACCUGGUCCCCGCGUUCCUCUAGGAAGAUGAGGGUCUUUGCACGGCCAAGUGCAUCGAUGGCCAGCUUGGGUAUGGAAGCCACAGCCCCUCCCUGCCAUGGCCUGGAGGCCUGGAGGGCGGCUGGGAGGCCUUGGGUAAGGAAAUAAGAGGAGACUUGAGACCUGCCAGCAAGAGGAGUGGAUGAGAGCAGAGAAAUGGAACCAGAGGAAAGAAGCAAACUGUCUAGAUUCCAGAACUUCCUGGGGUGGAAAGUUUGCUGGACACGUAAGAAGAAGGAUAUUUCAGACUCAGAUUUCUGUCGCUCAGUGGUGGCUUCCCUCCACUGUCAACACCAGCCUUCCAGACCACGCGCCACGCCCCAGCCUGGUCAACGC
rnacentral:lncRNA from 1 species